GCUCAACCGAAGAAGUGCAUCGGAAACUGGGAAACUUGAGUGCAGAAGAGGACAGUGGAACUCCAUGUGUAGCGGUGAAAUGCGUAGAUAUAUGGAAGAACACCAGUGGCGAAGGCGGCUGUCUGGUCUGUAACUGACGCUGAGGCUCGAAAGUAUGGGUAGCAAACAGGAUUAGAUACCCUGGUAGUCCAUACCGUAAACGAUGAAUGCUAAGUGUUGGAGGGUUUCCGCCCUUCAGUGCUGCAGCUAACGCAUUAAGCAUUCCGCCUGGGGAGUACGGCCGCAAGGCUGAAACUCAAAGGAAUUGACGGGGGCCCGCACAAGCGGUGGAGCAUGUGGUUUAAUUCGAAGCUACGCGAAGAACCUUACCAGGUCUUGACAUACUACGCUAACCUGAGAGAUCAGGCGUUCCCUUCGGGGACGUGGAUACAGGUGGUGCAUGGUUGUCGUCAGCUCGUGUCGUGAGAUGUUGGGUUAAGUCCCGCAACGAGCGCAACCCUUAUUAUCAGUUGCCAGCAUUAAGUUGGGCACUCUGGUGAGACUGCCGGUGACAAACCGGAGGAAGGUGGGGAUGACGUCAAAUCAUCAUGCCCCUUAUGACCUGGGCUACACACGUGCUACAAUGGAUGGUACAACG
rnacentral:rRNA from 1 species